AUACGGAGGAUCCGAGCGUUAUCCGGAUUUAUUGGGUUUAAAGGGAGCGUAGGUGGAUUGUUAAGUCAGUUGUGAAAGUUUGCGGCUCAGCCGUAAAAUUGCAGUUGAAACUGGCAGUCUUGAGUACAGUAGAGGUGGGCGGAAUUCGUGGUGUAGCGGUGAAAUGCUUAGAUAUCACGAAGAACUCCGAUUGCGAAGGCAGCUCACUAGACUGUUACUGACACUGAUGCUCGAAAGUGUGGGUAUCAAACAGGAUUAGAUACCCUGGUAGUCCACACAGUAAACGAUGAAUACUCGCUGUUUGCGAUAUACAGUAAGCGGCCAAGCGAAAGCAUUAAGUAUUCCACCUGGGGAGUACGCCGGCAACGGUGAAACUCAAAGGAAUUGACGGGG
rnacentral:rRNA from 1 species